UACGGGAGGCAGCAGUGGGGAAUUUUGGACAAUGGGCGCAAGCCUGAUCCAGCCAUUCCGCGUGAGUGAAGAAGGCCUUCGGGUUGUAAAGCUCUUUCGCAAGGGAAGAAAACUUACACAAUAACACUGUGUGAGGCUGACGGUACCUUGAUAAGAAGCACCGGCUAACUACGUGCCAGCAGCCGCGGUAAU
rnacentral:rRNA from 1 species